ensembl:rRNA 5S_rRNA 5S ribosomal RNA
GCCAGCAGCCAUAUCACCCUGUAGCCCAUGACUGGUUGCCCACUGAAGUUAAGCAGGGCUGAGCCUGGUCAGUACCUGGAUGGGAGACCUCCUGGGAAAACUAGGUUGCUGCUGGAA